GUGGGGAAUUUUGGACAAUGGGCGAAAGCCUGAUCCAGCAAUGCCGCGUGCAGGAUGAAGGCCCUCGGGUUGUAAACUGCUUUUGUACGGAACGAAAAGCUCUCUUCUAAUACAGGAGAGUCAUGACGGUACCGUAAGAAUAAGCACCGGCUAACUACGUGCCAGCAGCCGCGGUAAUACGUAGGGUGCAAGCGUUAAUCGGAAUUACUGGGCGUAAAGCGUGCGCAGGCGGUUUUGUAAGACAGUGGUGAAAUCCCCGGGCUCAACCUGGGAACUGCCAUUGUGACUGCAAGGCUAGAGUGCGGCAGAGGGGGAUGGAAUUCCGCGUGUAGCAGUGAAAUGCGUAGAUAUGCGGAGGAACACCGAUGGCGAAGGCAAUCCCCUGGGCCUGCACUGACGCUCAUGCACGAAAGCGUGGGGAGCAAACAGGAUUAGAAACCCUAGUAGUCC
rnacentral:rRNA from 1 species